CACGUACUGUGCGAACGUUAUUCGGAAUCACUGGGCUUAAAGGGUGCGUAGGCGGCCUUGCAAGUAGGGUGUGAAAUCUUCCGGCUCAACCGGAAAACUGCGCUCUAAACUGCUUGGCUUGAGUGAGAUAGGGGUGUGCGGAACUUCCAGUGGAGCGGUGAAAUGUGUUGAUAUUGGAAGGAACGCCGUUAGCGAAAGCGGCACACUGGGUCUCAACUGACGCUGAGGCACGAAAGCCAGGGUAGCGAACGGG
rnacentral:rRNA from 1 species